rnacentral:rRNA from 1 species
UACGUAGGGUGCAAGCGUUGUCCGGAAUUAUUGGGCGUAAAGAGCUUGUAGGCGGUUUGUUGCGUCUGCUGUGAAAUUUCGGGGCUCAACCCCGAACUUGCAGUGGGUACGGGCAGACUAGAGUGUGGUAGGGGAGACUGGAAUUCCUGGUGUAGCGGUGAAAUGCGCAGAUAUCAGGAGGAACACCGAUGGCGAAGGCAGGUCUCUGGGCCACUACUGACGCUGAGAAGCGAAAGCAUGGGGAGCGAACAGGAUAGAUACCGUG